UAGUCCUCUUAAUAUGCCUGAAUCAAGAUGUCUACCAAAAACAUAACCAAAUCUGCUCCAAAUGUUAGUUGGUUCUUCACUGGCCCAUAUCCCACCCUUCCAACAACUUUCAAGAAAUUUGGUUCAGUAGAUUUUGUAUUAUCCUGGAAAAGGGCAGAUAAACAGCAUUCAAAGCAAAACCUCCUUGGCAUAAACAAAACCAGUUAGAAAACUACUAAAUGAUUCUAAACCCUUGCACCAGGUGAAACUAUUUACUGAAAAAAGGGGGAAAAAAACGUUUGUAUUAAUUUGUCAUUGCAUUUGAAGAAGCUUCUGCACAUGUAUUGUACAUGUUUGUACCUUCUGUGCAUGCGCGUGUGUGCAAGCGGUGAAGUGGAUGCGGUGGUGAAGAAUUCACAAAAAGACUGAUGCAACAGCAACAUUAGUGGCUGGUUUUGUGUGAGGAAGGUCAGGGUGGAUGUGGGAUGCGGUUAGAGACGGGGCUCCACGCGUGGGGGGGGAUUGUAUAAGUGAAAGUUUGGGGUGUACACUGCAGCUGUGCGUUGGUGCUGCUGUCUUUUAGCCUGCGUGCACCGACCGUCAAGUGGCCAGGAAACGCCUACAGUUAGAGCUGUCUCAUUGACGGCCAACGAGUUUCCUGGAGGAGGGGCGGUGGAGGUGAGGGCUGUAUGUGUGUGUGUUUGAUGGAUUUUUUGCACAUGUGGGUUGGCAACCGCUGCACGGGGGAAGAGAGUGGGGGAAAACAGGCACCAGGAUGCUCUGGGAACCCCUGUACACCCUGUUUCGGGACCACACAACAGGAAGAGCUGCUUUCACAACUCCUGCUCUGGCUGUUUGUGUCUGCUCUGCUGUGCCAGGCUGCUCUGUCCCCUCCCUGCUUCGCUCCGAAACCACAGAGACCAUUAAAAACAGAGGCAGGGUUACAUGAAAUACAAAUAACAACUGGCACGUGCUAAGGUUUUUGGUCGCUUUCAGUAGCAACACAAAUAACAAACUCACAAUAGUCACCCUGGAGUCACAGUGUGAUGUGUUGAGGGGUAAACCAAUAACUGUUGACUAUUUGCAGCGGCAGCACCACAGUUUGUCUCAUAGAGCAGGAAAAGCACAGGUGUGCCUUUAAAAAUGGCUGCAUUCCAUUUAGGUGAGCCGGCUCGGUGUUGGCACCGUGCGACUCACUGUCAUCACAAACUGAGACACCUGAUGGACCUUAAAACAAUGUGGCAUCUGAAGUUCCCCAAAGUUGAUAGAGAAUCACAGAAAGGUUAAACUAAUUCAGCGUAUUUUUUAAAACCCUUGAAAAGUAAAACAGUUAAAUGAUUGUCUAGUGUACUUGUCAGUCACUAACUGACCUGUCUGCGCAGCCUGCCCAUGGUCUCAAGGUGAAGGAUCAGAGACUUCACAAGUUAGCAAACGAGUCACGGCAAAGACGUUUACUGGCAGUCAUCUGUCGCAAAUGUCUUUCGGGGGAGUAGCUAUGAAGAGAGGGUCGAUGGGACGUUUCUGUUUCAUAUGUUCAAAGUGUAGCUUGUUCUUGCUAGUUUUUCUAGGAUUACCCACCCUAGCUUUAAUGUUCUAGCUCAUUCUCAAUGCUCUCAUAGCUUCAUUUUAGGCUUUCAGCUGCUCGGCUGCAAACAGCAGACGGAAAAACUUCAAGAUUUCUCUCAGGAGCUGGUAGGGACCAAACAUGGAACUACAAUAGUCAUCUGUUCAGAAACAUGAAAGGUUUAUUUGCUCCAUAGCUGCUGGAUGUAAAAAUUGUUUGCACAAAUUCAUCAACUUAGAUGAUGAUAUGUCUCAUUCGACAGUUGUGCAGUGUGUAUUUAUUCAGAACAAACAGCCAGUGUACCGGCUCUGCAGGAAUCAGCUCAGGCUGGCAACACAUGCACCUACGCCCAUCAUGUGAUUUGAUCUGAGUCUGUGUUUGUGCUACAGGUCAGACUCAGAUAGAUCUGAAAACCUAACAGGAACACCUUUAAAAUAUUUGUUUCCUUUCUCCUCAUGCUUCAAUAAUCCGAGACAUGUAGUCGAGAGUGAAACCUAGUAAACGGCAGGAAUGCAGACUUGUCAUAGUAGGAAAAGCACAAGUGUUCACCAACAACAAUGGCUCUGUUCUAUUCAAGUGCUGCACAGUGAGAAAGACAGUGAGUCAUGAACAACUCCAGGGCCCUGAAACUGAAUCACUCAUUGUAUAAUUUAGAUCUGUGUUGUUACUACUGGGAACAUGACAACAUGUCGUCUGUGAAAAGAACAUGCUAAACCUCUCAUAUUUUCUCUGAUCUAAUCAAAUCUUCCAACUCUCCAUAUCCACCUUUACCUUCACAAGGGAGGAUAUGUGUCUGUUUGUCUGAAGGUUAGUAGGUUUAUGCAGAAACUACUGGAUGGAUUAACACACAACUUGGUGGGAGGUUCUGCUGUGGGUCAGGGAGGAAGGAUCCAUUACAUUUUAGGUUUAGAUCUGGAUAAUUUUCCUUGAUUUCCCAGAAAAGAAAUAUGGAUCUUGAGGAAAAAAAUAACCAAACAUGUGUAAGGGACAGUUAUUAUUGAGUAAAUGACAUCUGUAGCUGAGCCACACAAAAAUCUGGGGCUUUGGAAUUAUAAAAAUACAAUUUUUCACAUUUAUUCAUUACAAUUAAUAAACUCAUAAAUUAGAAUUGUAACUAUCCAUUUAGGGUAAGCAUCUUAGGAACCUCCUUUUAACACAUGUUAUCUCUUCAGAUCUAGACACCGAAAUCUACAAAACAUCACGUUUUUCUGCUUCAGGCCUUUGGAGGAAAUUGCCUGUUUUUUUAAACUGCACUUUUUAACAGUCAGACUGCAGUGACGCAUUAGAGAGGCCAAAAUGAAACUUUAACCUUAACAGCAGUUGAGCGUGCUGGGGUGAUAUAUCCUCUCUGUCCCGAUAGAGGAGGUCAAACGGGGUGAAGCAGGUCAGGCUGGGACUCAGAGAUAAUGACCUCGCCUCCGCCCCUUUUCCCCUCCAACACUCUGCCCCACUCAACAUCACACCCACGUGUACAAAUAUGCAACAAGCUCAAUUUCAGCCAUGACGUACAGAAACGUGCACGUGAGGAGUGGUACUGAUGGUCUUAGUGCAGCUUUGGCUUGUGGAAAGUAAGGACAGCGCUUUGUAAUAAACAGGUUUGAAGCUGACUGCAGACUGUAUAUAAAACAGAUUUUACGGCUUCGUUUGUCUUUUCUAACGUGGUUUUCUUGCUGAACUUCCGUCUGCCCACUUCAGUAACCGCUGAUCCAGCAGCUGCACCGAGAGCUCCGCCGAGGAGACCCCACAGAAACAAGCCCAGCAGGAGACCCAGCAUUGCGCCCGCAUAAACAACCUUGGGCACCUGUUUAACAGUGGUCCAGGCUUUCUCCCACAUUGGGCUCUCAGCCACCAUUUUGGCCCCUGCCUUAGCCCCUGAGCCCAUCUUCUUCCACGCCGGACUCUGCGCCACUUUCUUUGCACCAGCACCGAUUCCAGCUCCGACUCGUAAAGAGCUGUCAGCUAUCAGUUUAGCUCCGCUCUUGGCCCCAGAUCCUACUUUUCCCCACACAGGACUCUUUGCCAAAUUCUUGGCCCCAGAUCCGAUCCCGGACCCUACAACCAUGGAUCUGUCCGCCACUAGUUUGGCCCCGGAACCAACUUUCCCCCACAUGGGACUUGCUGCUGCUGCUUUUGCUCCAGAUCCCACCCACGCAGAACUAUCCACUACCACUUUGGGAACUCUAUCUCCUACUAGUUUGGAUGCAUGUUGGGCGCUAGCUCCCACCUUUCCCCAAACUGAACUAUCAGCCAUCAUCUUCUGAACGUUUUGUGCUCUGCUGCCAACCGUCCCCCACACUGGGCUACUUUUCACCUUCUUAGCUCCCUCACCAACCCACAUGGAGCUGUCUGACAACAGCUGGGGUAACAUUUUUGCACUAGACUCCAUUUUUUCCAUAAUGGAACGAAGGAGUGAAGGGGACAAGCCUGAAAGCGUAAUAGGAGGAAGGCUCUCGAUGUCCAUGGUGCUUACACUCAUCUCUGCCUCAUGCCGUGUUUUCUCUAUCUCAUCUUCUCUCACUUCCUCUUCUGCCUCGGCCACAGACUGCAUGUAGGGAUAGAUCAACCGCCUCUCAGAGUUAAGCUGUGCAACCUCGCUUGAUUUUUCCGGCUCCAGCUUUUUGCCUCUUUUCUCUCUAGCUAACUCUACCUGUCUCUGUCUCACUCGGUUCUCAGCCUCCUGAAAAGCGGGACAAGAGUAACACUGUCCUCCGGCCUCCCUCACCGUCUGCUCCACCUUCUCUAGCAGCUCCGCCACGUUCCCCUUCUCCACCUGACCCCCUCCGCUCUCUAGAACAUGAAACCUGUCACAGCAUUUCUCCACAAGGUUUAAAAAAUCCCCUCGCUGACUGGCAAUAUAUUCCUCUAUGCUGUUGUUUCCUGCCUUCCCGCUCUCCCUCAGUCGAUCUGUGUAAGUGAAAAGGACCAGAGUGUGUUUCUGGAUCGCGUCCGGGCCGAAAACAACUUCGAGGGCCUUGAGGGCCUGGAGCUCGGUCUUUGCGGGCUGGUCCAAGGGGACGCACAGGAGGAAGGCGUGGGGGCCGGGACUGGACAAAGCAACACAGGAGGAGAUCUGAGCUCGCACCUCAUCAGGAGUUCGCUCUGAAGUGAACCAGUCUGGGGUAUCCACCACUGCCACCUGCAGGUGAUAGAGAGGAGACACAUACAGCAAUAUAAGAACACAGGCAGAUCAUGGGAGACUUCGACUGUUCUAUGACAAAAUGAUUGUGUCACAUUAAAGUAAUUUGGGAUUUUGGCACUUGGUGGGAUAAGAGAAAGGAAAUUGAAAAUGAGGGUGAGCCAAACAGCAAUAACAAUCACUAACCCUUCGUCCUUCAACCAGCGCCUUCUUUUUCUCACACUGCUGAGUGACAGACGUGAGGCUGUCCGGGUCCGACUUGAACUCUUCUCCCCUGAGGAUGCUGUUGCCGGCUGCACUCUUCCCUGAUCCGGAGCGCCCGAGAAGCACCAGACGCAGCUCCGGAGAGGAUGAGGAGGAUGAGGGGUACGAGGUGGAAGAGGCUGAGGCAAAAGUUGAUGAGGAGGUUGAAUAAGAUGAGGGCAAUGUGGAAGAGGUGGAGGAUGAGGGGACUGUGGAGGAUGAGGAAGAUGAAGGGACUGAAGAGGAUGAUGUGCGAGAGGCAGAAGCUAAAGUUGAUGGGGAGGUUGAAUAAGAUGAGGGGAAUGUGGAAGAAGUGGAGGAUGAUGGGACUGUGGAGGAUGAGGAAGAUGAGGGGAAUGAAGAGGAUGAUGUGCGAGAGGCAGAAGCAAAAGUGGAUGAGGAGGUUGAAUAAGAUGAGGGGAAUGUGGAAGAAGUGGAGGAUGAGGGGACUGUGGAGGAUGAGGAAGAUGAGGGGACUGAAGAGGAUGAUUUGUGGGAGGUGGAGGCCAAAGUUGAAGAUGAGGUUGAAUAAGAUGAGGGGAAUGUGGAGGAUGAGGCGAAGGAAGAGGAUGAGGAGGAUGAGGGGAAUGAAUAGGAUGACGUGGGAGAGGUGGAGGCAAAAGUAGAUGAGGAGGGGGAGGAGGAUGAGGGGAAUGUGGAAGAGGAGGCAGCAAAGGUUGGCGAGGAAGGGGAGGAGGAGAAGACGGGUGAAUAGGGAGAGGAAGUUGGAGGCGCCUCGGGGAAUCUCUCUUCAAAGCUGUUGAUUCUGUGAUGAACUGAAAAAAAAAUCCAGAAUUUAGUAAAGAAUUAAAAAAAGUAAAUUAUAAUGAGACAUGGAUCAAUAUAUACGUGAACUGUUAAAUGAUAUUAUAAAAGCCAACGAAGUCCUGUGA